rnacentral:rRNA from 3 species
ACUCGACUCCAUGAAGUCGGAAUCGCUAGUAAUCGUGGAUCAGAAUGCCACGGUGAAUACGUUCCCGGGCCUUGUACACACCGCCCGUCACACCAUGGGAGUGGGUUGCAAAAGAAGUAGGUAGCUUAACCUUCGGGAGGGCGCUUACCACUUUGUGAUUCAUGACUGGGGUGAAGUCGUAACAAGGUAACCGUAGGGGAACCUGCGGUUGGAUCACCUCCUUACCUUAAAGAA